CAAUUACUCCCUCCGUUCAGAAUUACUUGUCGCAGAAAUGGAUGUAUCUAGAUAUAUUUUAGUUCUAGAUACAUCCAUAUCCAAGACAAGUAAUUCCGAACGGAAGGAGUAUCAC
rnacentral:pre_miRNA from 1 species